CCUACGGGGGGCAGCAGUGAGGAAUAUUGGUCAAUGGUCGGGAGACUGAACCAGCCAAGCCGCGUGAGGGAUGAAGGUACAGAGUAUCUUAAACCUCUUUUGUCAGGGAACAAAGGCGGGGACGUGUCCCCGGAUGAGUGUACCUGAAGACAAAGCAUCGGCUAACUCCGUGCCAGCAGCCGCGGUAAUACGGGGGAGGCGAGCGUUAUCCGUUUUUAUUGGGUUUAAAGGGUGCGCAGGCGGUCUUUAAAGUCAGGGGUCAAAGUCCGGGGCUAAACCCAGGCCCGCCGUUGAAACUGGCAGUCUCGAGUUGGAGAGAGGUAUGCGGAAUGCGCGGUGUAGCGGUGAAAUGCAUAGAU
rnacentral:rRNA from 1 species